rnacentral:lncRNA from 1 species
AAAUUGAUGUGCGACAAAUGUAGCAUAAAGAUGCAAACGACAUAAUCUACCAUGUACAAAUCAGAACUAAACCAACUCAUUAUAGGUGAUAGUACCUCAUUAACACUAAUCCAAAUUAAGAAGAUUUAAUACUGCCUCACUACAAAUAAGUUAGGCAAUAAACACUGAUGUAAAUAUGUAACUAAUAUGAAUUAAGGAGAGUAAAGAUGGAACCCACUGUUUGGUGCAGCAGCAAAAGCUAAGUUUGUCAAGCAUGCAAGCAAGGUCACUUGCUGAUUCAAAAAUCAAUUUACACCUCAGCCCUCUUUCUAUUUUUUUCUUCAAUCAGAUAAGAAAAAUUUCUCUAUCUCAGUAUUUCGGAAGGAUAUGUUAUACAAUCUCAGGAUAGGUUUGCAAUUUUUACCUUGAAUAACUAAGACAACCAUGAUGAAGAAGACGCAGUGUAAAGAACAGAACUCGUAGAACUCACAUUUUUAGAUCAAUGGGUUACAUGCAAAAUAAAAUUUAUUUUUGAACUAAAUGCAAAGCUAGAUCUACUAUAAACAUUAGAAGAACGACCAAGAAGGCUGAAGAAGAAGUAUUUUAGAAGAAUCAGGACAAAGAAAACGAAGAAGACUGACUUGUUGGACGAGGUAGAUCUUCUUUCAACCUUGAUCUGAGUGGUAGAAGACGAAACUUGACGGAGUUUGGUGGUUGAAAAUCGAUAGUGCCGUAAGGGAGAUGCAACUUUUGUGUCUGCGUUUGACCUAAAAAUGCAAGAAAGAGAUGACGAUCUUCCCUUAUGUUUAGCCUAACCUGGGAUUUGUGUGACGAAUGGGUUUGUUAGGCCCAGCCCACUUGGGAUUUAUUUUUCUCUUUAGUUAAUUUUUUGGAAUCUUUGGAAUCCUUGAGACUCGAACACUGCUUUGGUGUAUGUUAAGUUCUAGUUACUGUUCACGCGUGUCUGUGUGAACAGUACCUGCCGAUUUUAAUUUUUUGAAAACAAAACAGAACAACUUUUUUUUUGUUUUCACUAUUUUCAAAGAUAGUGGAAGUUGUUUUGCCUUGUUUUUAUUUAUUUUUUGCAACACAAACAAGUUUUCUAUUUUUAUUUAGUGAUGAUGGAGUGACUUUCGAUGGCAGGUUAAGAUGGUGGUGGCCAGUGACGGACGCAAGAAUUACAUUUGGGUGGGCCAAAUUAUACAUCAAUGGACCAAUAAUAAAAUAGUCAAAGUUAACAGAAAAAAUUUAAAAAAUUAAUUUUCUUUUUUCAAAUAUUUUGGGGGGCCGUGGCCCCCACCUGACCCCUGGGUCCGCCUCUGGUGGUGGCAAUGCGCAAUGGUGGUUGCAAAGGGUGUGAUGAUAAAGGGGUGGUGGAGGUAUCAGUGGUGGUUGGUGUUGGUAGGCGUAGUGGCAGUUAGUUCUUGCAAAGAAAAUGGGGUGGUGUGAUGGAAAAAAUUAGAAAGCAAGGAAUACACCAUUUUAUCCCCUAGAAAAUGGCAAUGUGAGCUCCAUAUGCACUAUUUUCAUAAAAAAAAUCAUUAUGGACAUUAUCUACUGGACUCAAUUGCUUGUCAAAAUCGAGCAAAUUAAAAGACAAGGACGAAAUUGAUACAAUGAACAAACUAAAGGCACUAUUUCUAUAAUUUAUAAUCUCCAAUCCAAAACCUUAAUUUGAUUUCGAGUAUUAUAUGAAAGGACUAUAUGAUUUAGCCUUAUAAAAUUAUACUUAUAGCCACUGAUAUAUAUUUAAUUUUCAAAAUAGGUAAUUAUAAAUUACUUCUAUGAAUUUUUACUUUUCUUUUAAGAGAAAAAAAGAUUCUAAUUUCUCUCUUAUCCCAUGACAACACUUAAUUGGCAGUUGCCAGUAACCAAUUUUUGAUCACUUUUGACACUCGACAAACAACAAUAUUUGGCAUAUUGGGAUUGGUCCACUCAUGUGAGAAAUCGUGGGUCAUACAAUUCUUAGUUAUUUACACACACAUAUAUAUAAAAUGAGAUCAGGAGUUGUCGGCAUGCGGCUUGCCAGCCAAAUCCCAUCUGAUGUCUCUAACCCCACUUGCUAACUCUGGUUAGAUUUUAACCAUACCCUAGUUAAAACGCUGUGGAUCCUAGCUCAAUGAUUGUUUUAGUUUGGGGUUAAGCAUAUUGUAUAGUAGAGUUUGGAAUCCACUUAAAAUUUAGUAUACGGUUUUAUUUUUUAUUUUUUCUCCGUAUAAAAUAAAGAUCCAAAUAUAACAUUUAAUAUUUUACCAAACAAGACUAAAACCAAAUCCAAAGCAUUCCCGAUAUGAAAAUAGUGUAAUGGUGCAAGGUAAGCCAUCAAUAGUCAAACCUAAAUUAGAUGGGCAGAGGUCCUACUAAUUGAUUAUUUUUCGCAAGACAUGGCUAUAUUUGUCAUUUCAUGCAACAUAAUACGAAAGAUACAAGGAUAAAAAUGUCAUUUUAUAAUAAGUAGCUGCAUAUUAAAUUUGAAAAAAUCAUUGAAGAUUUUUAUUUGGAUCUGGUACUAAAAGUGCCA